rnacentral:rRNA from 1 species
UACGUAGGGUGCGAGCGUUUGUCCGGGAAUUAUUGGGCGUAAAGAGCUCGUAGGCGGCUUGUCACGUCGGGUGUGAAAGCUCGGGGCUUAACCCCCGGGUCUGCAUUCGAUACGGGCUGGCUGGAGUGUGGUAGGGGGAGAUCGGAAUUCCUGGUGUAGCGGUGAAAUGCGCAGAUAUCAGGAGGAACACCGGUGGCGAAGGCGGAUCUCUGGGGCCAUUACUGACGCUGAGGAGCGAAAGCGUGGGGGAGC